UACGUAGGGUGCGAGCGUUAAUCGGAAUUACUGGGCGUAAAGCGUGCGCAGGCGGUUCGCCAAGUCAGGUGUGAAAUCCCCCGGCUUAACCAGGGAAGUGCGCGCGAAACUGGCGGGCUUGAGUGCCGGAGAGGGUCGCGGAAUUCCCGGUGUAGAGGUGAAAUUCGUAGAUAUCGGGAGGAACACCAGUGGCGAAGGCGGCGACCUGGACGGACACUGACGCUGAGCCGCGAAAGCGUGGGGAGCAAACAGG
rnacentral:rRNA from 1 species